rfam:TPA: Bos taurus chromosome 29, whole genome shotgun sequence.
UCCCUGGUGGCUCAGAUGGUAAAAGAAUCUGCCUGCAAAGCAGGAGACCUGGGUUCAAUCCCUGGGUUGGGAG